UUACUAUUUCAAGUUUGCAAACAAAAUACAAAGCGCUUUCACUGGACCUUUUUUUUUUUAAAGCUCUGAAGGUUAUCCUCUUGUGUUUGUGUAGUGCUUUAUCACUUACAUCUUUGGAUUUGAUUCUCCUGACAGAUGUCAGCCCACGGUUAGGAGAGCAGGAAUUACUAUUUGCAUUUUUUACAGGAAAAAGGCUGGCUUUGAAGGGAGGUGCCCUGGCCUUCCAACGGCAGGUUCCAGCCAGGCCCCUGACUGUGACCCGCACUGCGUUUCAGGGCGGCUUCUUGGUACAUUUAGUCCUUCUUGUGAGAUGUGACAGCUAUUGUUUUCACUGGCCUCCAGCGUUGACCCUCACCAGGAAUUAGGGAUAAACCAGCAUUUGUGCCGCUGGCUUUAGGGCCUCCCCUGCCCUGUGAGAUGGAGCCCAGUUCCGAGGAAUUGGGUUAGGAAGAAGCUGCAAUAUCUGAGGACCCCGAGUUAAAAGGCUAUAGCUCCAUGUUCUGAGCGGAGACUUCCGCUGCAGUGAGUAUUAGUUUAGUAGUUGUACAAUCAUGUAAUUUGGAGAAGGUAUCAACUCUGUACAGGAAAUACAGGUUUAACAGAAAUCAUUUCAUUUGAUCCUUAUCUUCAAAAAACCUGAAGUGAGAAGUUGGAAGAAAGGACCUAGGUGGCUUGAAUUCCACCGCCUGCUGUCAGCGGCGGCUGAAAGCCUCAUUGUCGUGAACUGUCUGCCUGAGGCUCUGGGAAACCAAAGCAUCAGCGAACGGCUGAGCCAAGUGAGUCACCUGCUGAAAUGAGCCCUAACGAGGUCCCGGUGUGGGACCUCAGGAGGCUCGUGGGCUCGAAGAGGCUGCGGAGGCUUAGGUGACAUUCCUGUCGGGUCCUUCCUGGCUUGCAGGGCUCUGGCCCUCCCCUCCUUCCCUCCCUCCUCCUCUGGGCCCCGCCCUUCCCCUUCUCUCAGGUGGCGGGGAUCUAAACCCCCGCCGAGAGCGUCUCUGAUGGGUCACCAGCAUCUGGAGUGGGAAGCCCUGGCUCUGCGCCCCAAGGCCUCUUGCAGCAGCGGGAGCCUCCAGGGUCCCGGCUGGCGCUUGACUGCGCUGGGCACGCGUGAACCGCCUUCUCCCGCCAAGAGGUGGCUGCCGGCCUCCCCUCCUUCCUGCAGUAGCUAAAGCCUCCUGAUCUGAUUGGGAAGGGCUGCCAUUCAAGGAAACCAUGAUAAUCACGUGAGCUCGCGUUCAGCAGGUGAAAGGACGGUGUCUGCAGCUCAUUUCCCAUCUCCGUAGUGGGUUGGAGGAGCGGCCAGCCUGUGUGGGAAUAACUGGGAAACCAGAAUCUCCUGGACGGCCCUUUAUUUUUAACCUGCUCUAUGUGUCAGUUGUUGUUUUAAAGAAAAGACCUUUCUCUGAAUCUGAAAUGCUGUUCAUUCAAAUAUAUGUUUAGCCUUUAUUUCCAAGUUUAAGACCUUACUGAGUACUGAACGUAUAAACUACUUGACACUUUUUACAAGCUGACUUUCACAGCAGUCUCGUGAGAUAGACGCUAUUAUCCUUCUUCCUCCAAAAUAAGCCUUGGAGAGAGAAUAGCUCAGUUUGUCUCUGACCAGCACCCGAGGGCUGAGAGCCUGCCUUGUGCCGGCUUGGACGGGCUCCCAUGUCGGCUCUGCUGCCGGCCAGCCGCCUCUGAAGCACAGAGACCAUCGUCCUUCUCCUUACGGCCAGCAGCAGCGUCUCCACUGCGGAGCCAAGGCUGGUGACUGGAGUGCGGCACUCGAGGUCCUGUCCCACCUGAGGCUGCCGCGCCUGCGCCCGUCGGGUCGGGGGCUGAACCUCACCUGGCCCCUGCAGGGGCCUUCACCGGGCUGGCUGGGCCGCCUGCACACGCACGCACACGCACGCAUCCUCCGCGUCUGGCCUCCACGCUCACCCUUGCUUGCAACGCACGGAGCCUUCAGAGCACCUGACGCAGGGGCACCGAAACGGGAUGGACUCAGACCAGAGCAGCCUCGUUGGUGCAUCUAGUUUAGAAGCAACUGAUGCAGCCCCUUCCUCUGGCAGGUGAAGCCCUUCAUUCCUCAGAGACGUUCACUGACUUGAAACAGUUCAGUCUCAACACGGCUGCAGGCCCCCGUGGUCUUUCCGCUGUGGCUUCCAGCAGAUCACGUAGCCAGCGAGAGAGCUGCGUGACGCCUUAGCCAUUCACGCGGAGACGGUCCCCCGGGUGCUUCCCUGUCACUUAGGAGCCACACUCAGCCGCAAGUGACGGGGGCCUGCAGGGGCUCCUCUCUCCUCACGGCCUGGAGUCCACGCUGCGGCCCUUGCGUCUCCCGUGACCCACGGCGGCAGCAGCAGUGGCCACCCCCGUGGCCUGUGCCCUGGCUGGGAAGAAGAGAAGGCCGCGGACUUACGAGGUUAACUAUAGCUUCCGGAAUCCCUGCUUUGAAAGAUUAAUCGAGGUGCCAUUCCUAUGCAGUAAAAGACCAACGAAUAAGAAACGUCGUAUAAGUAACGCAAAUCUACACGUUUCAUCUUCUUCCGAUUGUUUUUGAACUGAUAAUAAACUAGGGAACAUAUUCCUUAUUUUUGUAAAAAGUGACUUAAAAUUUUUUUCAUAAAUAAAAUGUUAAUGACCUGCCUCUCAUAGAUGAUUUAAUCUUA